rnacentral:rRNA from 1 species
GAUGAACGCUGGUGGCGUGCCUAAUACAUGCAAGUCGAGCGAAUGGAUUAAGAGCUUGCUCUUAUGAAGUUAGCGGCGGACGGGUGAGUAGCACGUGGGUAACCUGCCCAUAAGACUAGGAUAACUCCGGGAAACCGGGGCUAAUACCGGAUAACAUUUUGAACCGCAUGGUUCGAAAUUGAAAGGCGGCUUCGGCUGUCACUUAUGGAUGGACCCGCGUCGCAUUAGCUAGUUGGUGAGGUAACGGCUCACCAAGGCAACGAUGCGUAGCCGACCUGAGAGGGUGAUCGGCCACACUGGGACUGAGACACGGCCCAGACUCCUACGGGAGGCAGCAGUAGGGAAUCUUCCGCAAUGGACGAAAGUCUGACGGAGCAACGCCGCGUGAGUGAUGAAGGCUUUCGGGUCGUAAAACUCUGUUGUUAGGGAAGAACAAGUGCUAGUUGAAUAAGCUGGCACCUUGACGGUACCUAACCAGAAAGCCACGGCUAACUACGUGCCAGCCGCCGCAGUAA